rnacentral:rRNA from 1 species
GUGGGGAAUCUUCCGCAAUGGACGAAAGUCUGACGGAGCAACGCCGCGUGAGUGAUGAAGGUCUUCGGAUUGUAAAGCUCUGUUAAUCGGGACGAAAGAGCCUAGUGUGAAUAAUGCUAGGAAGUGACGGUACCGGAAUAGAAAGCCACGGCUAACUACGUGCCAGCAGCCGCGGUAAUACGUAGGUGGCAAGCGUUGUCCGGAAUUAUUGGGCGUAAAGCGCGCGCAGGCGGAUCUGCCAGUCUGUCUUAAAAGUUCGGGGCUUAACCCCGUGAUGGGAUGGAAACUACAGAUCUAGAGUAUCGGGAGGAAAGUGGAAUUCCUAGUGUAGCGGUGAAAUGCGUAGAUAUUAGGAAGAACACCAGUGGCGAAGGCGACUUUCUGGACGAAAACUGACGCUGAGGCGCGAAAGCCAGGGGAGCGAACGGGAUUAGAAACCCGUGUAGUCC